CUCAUUUAAUUGCUGGCAGCCAAAUGGGACACAUCUCUACUUGGAGGUUGUCUCCUUUGGAGUGUUUGGUGAGCUCUAAUCCUUGGAAAAGUGGCCAGUCACAUUUUCAUCAGAAUGCAGCAAGCACUUUCAUCGACUGUAUCACAAUACAAGGGACUGCUCAACACCAGCUUAUUAUAAAAGAUGUGCAAGGUUGCUAACAAGAU